ensembl:lncRNA
GUUUGCUGAAGCCACAUUAAUAUCUCUGUUGGAUAAAUUUUGGAUAAACAGACAAAAUAUCGCUCUUUUUUUCUCUCCUUCACACAGAUAAAUUCAUGCAUACUCACUCACACACACACACAGUUCCCCUAAUUCAGUGUUUUUCUGUGUCUCUGCAGGAGGAGAGCAGUGCUGUGUGCUGUAGAGGGGAGAUAAUGGCCUCUGGCUCCUCAAUCUCUCGGCUGUAAUGUGUUUCUGACGCCAGCGAGUGCCUGCAGCCCCCUGGGAGGUACAGGGACGACAUCAUGAUGGAGUGUCAGCAGAUGAAAUGGGAGAAGCCACCCAGAAAGCGAUGACCCCUGACCUUGUCGUAAUGCCAGCCUCCAGGCGUGCUGACUUCACAGAAGCAGAUGCACACAGCUCUUUCUGUUCUGCUCUUCAGCUGCCCAGGCUCUGGAGCCGUGGGGAGAACAGCUCAAGGACAGGAGAGAGGAGACCGAGCCCUCCGGGCCUGUUCUGGACUCUGGACUGUCAGCUCCAAUGGACAGCUGUUGCCCAGGCAGCAGAGGGAGGAGGGGCCUGAUGUGUUUCUGUGUGGCUGCAGGAGGGAGGAGUCACGCACCUGUGAAUCUACACCUGAGAACGAACCAAGCCGGAGAAUAGGCAGAAAAGAAGAGAUAGACAGAAACUCAUUGAAACCGGGCCUAUAG